rnacentral:tRNA from 6 species
CCGCCCAUAGCUCAGUUGGUAGAGCAGUCGGCUCUUAACCGAACGGUCGUAGGUUCGAAUCCUACUGGGCGGACAA